GGGGCACCUGAUCUUCAAUGCCGCGUGAGUGAAGAAGGCCUUCGGGUUGUAAAGCUCUUUUGUCAGGGAAGAAACACCGGCUCUAACACAGUCCGGGAAUGACGGUACCUGAAGAAUAAGCACCGGCUAACUACGUGCCAGCAGCCGCGGUAAUACGUAGGGUGCGAGCGUUAAUCGGAAUUACUGGGCGUAAAGCGUGCGCAGGCGGUUAUACAAGACAGGCGUGAAAUCCCCGGGCUUAACCUGGGAAUGGCGCCUGUGACUGUAUAGCUAGAGUGUGUCAGAGGGGGGUAGAAUUCCACGUGUAGCAGUGAAAUGCGUAGAUAUGUGGAGGAAUACCAAUGGCGAAGGCAGCCCCCUGGGAUAACACUGACGCUCAUGCACGAAAGCGUGGGGAGCAAACAGGAUUAGAUACCCUGGUAGUCCACGCCCUAAACGAUGCUGACUAGUUGUUCGGGAUUUACAUCCUGAGUAACGUAGCUAACGCGUGAAGUCAGCCGCCUGGGGAGUACGGUCGCAAGAUUAAAACUCAAAGGAAUUGACGGGGACCCGCACAAGCGGUGGAUGAUGUGGAUUAAUUCGAUGCAACGCGAAAAACUUUACUACCUUGAC
rnacentral:rRNA from 1 species